GACGAACGCUGGCGGCGUGCUUAACACAUGCAAGUCGAACGGAAAGGCCCUGCUUUUGUGGGGUGCUCGAGUGGCGAACGGGUGAGUAACACGUGAGUAACCUGCCCUUGACUUUGGGAUAACUUCAGGAAACUGGGGCUAAUACCGGAUAGGAGCUCCUGCUGCAUGGUGGGGGUUGGAAAGUUUCGGCGGUUGGGGAUGGACUCGCGGCUUAUCAGCUUGUUGGUGGGGUAGUGGCUUACCAAGGCUUUGACGGGUAGCCGGCCUGAGAGGGUGACCGGCCACAUUGGGACUGAGGUACGGCCCAGACUCCUACGGGAGGCAGCAGUGGGGAAUAUUGCACAAUGGGCGGAAGCCUGAUGGAGCAACGCCGCGUGCGGGAUGACGGCCUUCGGGUUGUAAACCGCUUUCGCCUGUGACGAAGCGUGAGUGACGGUAAUGGGUAAAGAAGCACCGGCUAACUACGUG
rnacentral:rRNA from 1 species